GAUGAAGAACGCAGUGAAAUGCGAUACGUAAUGUGAAUUGCAGAAUUCAGUGAAUCAUCGAGUCUUUGAACGCACAUUGCGCCCCUUGGUAUUCCGGGGGGCAUGCCUGUUCGAGCGUCAUUAUAACCCCUCAAGCUCAGCUUGGUGUUGGGGCCUGCCGACUGGCAGCCCUUAAAAUCAGUGGCGGCGCCAUCUGGCUCUAAGCGUAGUAAUUUCUCUCGCUAUAGAGUCCCGGUGGAUGCUUGCCAGCAACCCCCAACUUUCUAUGGUUGACCUCGGAUCAGGUAGGGAUACCCGCUGAACUUAAGCAUAUCAAUAAGCGGAGGA
rnacentral:misc_RNA from 1 species